rnacentral:rRNA from 1 species
AUUGAACGCUGGCGGCAUGCCUUACUCAUGCAAGUCGAACGGCAGCAUGAUCUAGCUUGCUAGAUUGAUGGCGAGUGGCGAACGGGUGAGUAAUACAUCGGAACGUGCCCUGUAGUGGGGGAUAACUAGUCGAAAGAUUAGCUAAUACCGCAUACGACCUGAGGGUGAAAGGGGGGGACCGCAAGGCCUCAUGCUAUAGGAGCGGCCGAUGUCUGAUUAGCUAGUUGGUGAGGUAAAGGCUCACCAAGGCGACGAACAGUAGCUGGUCUGAGAGGACGAUCAGCCACACUGGGACUGAGACACGGCCCAGACUCCUACGGGAGGCAGCAGUGGGGAAUUUUGGACAAUGGGCGAAAGCCUGAUCCAGCAAUGCCGCGUGUGUGAAGAAGGCCUUCGGGUUGUAAAGCACUUUUGUCCGGAAAGAAAUGGCUCUGGUUAAUACCUGGGGUCGAUGACGGUACCGGAAGAAUAAGGACCGGCUAACUACGUGCCAGCCGCCGCAGUAA